CAUUUGUCCCGGCCCAGAACUGCACACUGCAGUCAGGGGUAUUUGUUAUUUGUAGAUCAGCGUUUAAAGUGGGCAGAGAAAACGGUAGCCGAGUACCAGGAAGAGAAAGAUCGGUUACGAAGAAUGCUGCGGAUCACGCCAGAUAAACUGUAGAAUCGACCCCCUCCAGUCCUCUCUCACUGUUUCUGAAUAGGAGAUUCCCUCUGAGCAGCAGCACUGUAAGCAUGAGUGUAGCUCCAGUCUGGGGCAGGAAUAACCAAAGCCCACACAGAUUAAAGAGGAACUCGGGACCAGUCAGGAGGAAGAGCAGCUUCAAGUCCUGGAGCUUGAUAUCACUCCUUCCUGUGUGAAAAGUGAAUGUGAUCAAGAGGACCCACUUCAGUCCUUGACUCUUCCCCAAACUCAGACUGUGGAGAACAGAGAGAGUGACUCUAAACCAGUGGAUCUCAAACCUUUUGGCACUGUGACCAACCUAAAGGGUCUCAACAUUCCCUGUGAACCUCCAGAUAAUCAAAACAAUACCUCCAGCCACCGCUCAUCCUUAAGCAGCGACCCAGUAGGACUUGACAGAAGCCCACCAUUGCAUCCUAGCCCACUAUUGGAUCCCAGCUCCCCCAAAGUAAGAAAACUGGACAAAAACGGAAAGAAAUUAGGGCUAAGAGAUCUUCUGUCAGAAGAUGGGAGUAAAAAGGCAGGAUGUGGACAACACUUUUAGGAAAGCAAAGCAACCUUGAGUCAUUCAUACUGUGAGUUUCAGAUGAAUAGCUGUGUGUGAUGGAUUUACUUUUGUAAAAUGUUCUAUGUGAAUAAAGUUUGAUUUGAUUUGAAUGAUGAGGUAAUGAUCAAACAAUAAUACACACUAUUAUGGGAAUCAGGUCUGCUGUUAAAAGUCUGUUGAUGUCUUCAAGCCAUAAGAAACUGCAAUUCCUGGUGGUUUGUUUUUGGAAUGUUUCAAGAGAGAAUAGUGUGAUUGAUGUUAUUGAUUAAAAUUUUUUUUAAGUGCUUUCCAGAAAAGAUGUCCUUGCAUUUGUCCUAUGGUAUUUCUCAUAUAGUUUGAGCAAAUGCUGCUCAUUCAUGAUAUUGUUUAUUUUGGGAAGUAAUGAUUAACAGUCGACUCCUGAUAAGUGCAUUGUGUAUGAGCGCAUACAGUGUUUUAAGUGCACUGCAGUGUUUUUCCAGUCAAUACUAUUCAAUGCUAUUCUUCCUUUAUGUUGUAGUUAUGACUGGUUCCUGUACCUUGCAGAAAAAACCCAUCCACAUGGGGCACUGUGUUAUGUUUAUGGGCUCGCCACCGGCUGACGCAAACAGAAGAAGAAGACAAUGCAGAAGUAAAAGUCAAAGAUUUUUUUUUUUAAAGAGGGUUUUUGUUUGUGACCACCAUUCUUUCCUCGUUGACGAAGGCAUACUAGCUGAAUUCCCAACUCUCAGUCGACUGAAACGUGUUUGGGGGCUGCCACAUUCGCUCCAAGCUGUUGCAGUUAUCAAUAAUCAUCUGUGUUUCAAUGCGUUUUCCAAUUCAGUUCAUGCAAUAAAUGAUCAUCACAUUACUAAUUA